rnacentral:misc_RNA from 1 species
GAUGAAGAACGUAGCGAAAUGCGAUAAGUAAUGCGAAUUGCAGAAUUUCCGUGAGUCAUCGAAUCUUUGAACGCACAUUGCGCCCCCUGGUAUUCCGGGGGGCAUGCCUGUCCGAGCGUCAUUGCUGCCCUCAAGCACGGCUUGUGUGUUGGGCCCCGUCCUCCGAUCCCGGGGGACGGGCCCGAAAGGCAGCGGCGGCACCGCGUCCGGUCCUCGAGCGUAUGGGGCUUUGUCACCCGCUCUGUAGGCCCGGCCGGCGCUUGCCGAUCAACCCAAAUUUUUUAUCCAGGUUGACCUCGGAUCAGGUAGGGAUACCCGCUGAACUUAAGCAUAUCAAUAAGCGGAGGA